CAUAAGAAGAAGUAAAGCAGGAAGAGGAAGUGUAGUCAUUCAGGAGGAGUAGAGCUCAUUCACGCCACAUCGACAUGACGGCAUUUAGAAAACUUUUAACAUGUGGACUAAUCGUGGCGUCAAUCAUGGUGUUCAUGUUGCUGAAGAUUCUUACAUUUGGAAAUUCUGCUCUCCUACAGAAGAGGUCCAAUUGCCAGUGUUCUCUGUCUUGUGAAGGAGCACCUGAGCACCUGAUGAAACUGAAGAGCGUUCAUGUUCGUGUAGAACACCAAUCAGAUACAGUUUAUGAAGAAAUAUAUAACAUCUCCAGUGUAUUCAGAGAAGAUGGACACUGUUCUGUGGUCGUGCCGAAAUGUUUACAGGGGGACACACAGUUCGUAUUAAGAAUAUAUGCUGAUGAAAAUAAUCCAGUACCCAAUCAACUCUACGAAUUAAAAAAGUUAAAGCCUGAGUGUACAGAGAAAAACCUGAGGAGUGGUGCUGACAGGAACUUCUUCAACACACCCCUGACCCUGCUGAUUUUUUGCUGUUUUGUUAUUUUUUAAAAACCUGCCAAAGAAAUGCUGCCAUUUUCAGCAUUUCACUCUGCACUCUAUCAUUUUCUACCUCAGUCCAGCGCAAGACUCACUACAGAACUUUUCUCAGACUUUUCAGAAGUUGGGUUAGGUGUUCUUCUUAGUGCAGUCUACUGUAAGCUUUUGCCCACUCACACUUUUGGUGCUCACACAGGUUCAUUUUUACGUCCGUCAGAGUUCAGUUUGUUCCGAUGAAAUGUGUGCAACAGUAUGAUUUUCUGAAUACAAUGGUCCUAAAUUGUAUAUACAACCAGUAGAACGCAACAGAGAACUGACAACUGAACAGAAUAAACACAGGGCUUAAAUACACAGUGAACUGAAGAUCUAACUGCUCUCUUGGCAGCAUGCACCGUCAAGCCUCUACAACUGAUCCAGAAUGCUGCAGCAAGACGGGUCUUUAACGAACUGAAGAGAGCACGUCUUCAUCAGUUUGCAUUGGCUUCCAAUAGCUGCUCGCAUCCAAUUCAAGGCUCUGAUGUUUGCCUACAGAACAACCACUGGCUCUGCAGCACUAUACCUAAACCCACUACUUCAGACUUAUGCACCCUCCAGAAUUUUGUGUUCUGCAAGUGAACGGCGCCUUGCGGUGCCAUCCCAAAGGGGCACAAAAUCACUCUCACGGACCUUCUCCUGCUCUGUUCCCGGCUGGUGGAAUGACCUGCCACGCUUUUCAAAAAACUGCUAAAGACAUAUCUUGACCCAGUAAUAUUAGCACUUACUCUUUAUUUAUAUUUUUACUUUUCUUUUUUUGAUUUCUAUUCUUUUUCUCCAUAUAUUUGUAUUUAAAAAAAAAAAACCUUGCUACGAGCACUUUACUGGUGAAACUGGCACUUGCAUACACUAAACAGAACAAAACAACUCAGCUGUGACAGUCAUAUUGUUUCUAUAUAUAAAAUCAACUACUUUAAAUGAAUAAUUUUAUAUUUCUCUAUCAUUUUUAAUUGGAUGUCAUUUUUGGCAGCUCGUUCAUGGCAGCUAUGAAUGCAAGUGCCAUUCUGUGACUAAGCAAUGCUAUCGAUUUUGCCAUCGAUUAAGUGGCUGCCUCUGUGAUGAUGCAAAUCAUAUACAGUAAAAAAAAAAAAAUAAAAAGUGAACACAGUGUGAACACAAUCCAGUGGAGGCAGCUUUUGGACCAAGCCAUUGUACUAAGUGUGAAAUCACCUGUAUGUUUUAUUCCAAAUCUUCUGUCUUUUAUGUCCUAUAUGCUCACUUUUUGCACGGCUACAGCUUUACUUUUCUAAAGAAACAUAGAGGACUUUUAUUUACUGCACAAAAUUAACUUGACUAAAGGUACAUGUCUAGUAAGUUCAGUGGCUGAGAUGUUUUAUAUUUUCUUAUUUGAACUAUGCAUCAGGUCACUGUACUGAAAUAAUAACUUGAUCUGUGAUGAAACCACUAUUGAUGUGAUGAAUAUUAAAGUAUGUUUGUUUUGUAUGUUUAUGUUUGGAUUUCAUUCAGGGUUUAUAAAAGUUGCCAAAUGUGAAGAAAAA